rnacentral:rRNA from 1 species
AGUGAACGCUGGCGGUAGGCCUAACACAUGCGAGUCGAACGGCAGCACAGUAAGAGCUUGCUCUUACGGGUGGCGAGUGGCGGACGGGUGAGGAAUACAUCGGAAUCUACUUUUUCGUGGGGGAUAACGUAGGGAAACUUACGCUAAUACCGCAUACGACCUACGGGUGAAAGCAGGGGAUCUUCGGGCCUUGCGCGAUUGAAUGAGCCGAUGUCGGAUUAGCUAGUUGGCGGGGUAAAGGCCCACCAAGGCGACGAUCCGUAGCUGGUCUGAGAGGAUGAUCAGCCACACUGGAACUGAGACACGGUCCAGACUCCUACGGGAGGCAGCAGUGGGGAAUAUUGGACAAUGGGCGCAAGCCUGAUCCAGCCAUACCGCGUGGGUGAAGAAGGCCUUCGGGUUGUAAAGCUCUUUUGUUGGGAAAGAAAAGCAGCAGGUUAAUACCCCGCUGUUCUGACGGUACCCAAAGAAUAAGCACCGGCUAACUUCGUG